AAUUGUCAAUGAAGUUUCAGCCACAUUAGUGGCAACAACAACUAGGCGUUCUCCUUCCUUGACCUCUUCAAACACGCGAAGCUGUGCAGAUGCAGGAAGCAUAGCAUAAAGAGGUAAAACACACAUCGGACCAGCAAAGGUUCCAUUAGCCCCAUUCCUAACCUUACUUAAGAGAGGUUCAGAUUCAUUUGAAGCUCCUUCUUCACGACCAGCACAGGUUUCACUAGCCCCAUUCUUAACCUUACUUAAGAGAGGUUCAGAUUGAUUAGAAGCUCCUUCUUCACUGAUAGAAACAAGUUCCUGUUCGCCGGAAUCAGGUUGUGAUGUCCUUUUACAAUCCAAUGUUUCAAAAGCAGCCUUCAGUGAUGUAAGGCUUCCCUCCUCACCUAAAACAUCUAACAUACUGUUAGAUAUGUAAAUAUAGUAGAACCCUAGUUAUAGUAGAACUCUAGGUUAUUAGUAUUAUAUAUAGGGCUCAUUGUAUUAUGUUUAAUAUCAGUUAUAUUCUUCUCCC
rnacentral:lncRNA from 1 species